ACACAAGGAAGGAGGUGGUCCGCGAAAUUGAUAGCUUCAUGGACAUGUGAGGUGGCUACCCGCUAGCUGCAUUGGCUCGGAAGAGCCGGCGACAUGCACGCUGGCGAAUUCCCGGUAGCCACCCGGCCCCCGAGUUCCGAUCUGUCCAAUCGGAGAAUCGCUCGGGGGCCGCCCCAU
rnacentral:sRNA from 1 species